rnacentral:rRNA from 1 species
AACGUAGGAGACAAACGUUAUCCGGAGUUACUGGGCGUAAAGGGCGUGUAGGUGGUUUCGUAAGUCUGGCGUGAAAUUUUUCGGCUUAACCGGGAAAGGUCGUCGGAUACUGCGGGACUGGAGGACGGUAGAGGCGUGUGGAAUUCCGGGUGUAGUGGUGAAAUGCGUAGGGAUCCGGAGGAACACCAGUGGCGAAGGCGGGUCUCUGGGCCGAUACUGACGCUGAGGAGCGAAAGCGUGGGGAGCGAACAGG